GAGGGUAACAGCUCAGUGGUACAGCCGGUGCUUAGCAUGCACAAGGUCCUGGGUUCAAUCCCCAGUACCUCCA
rnacentral:tRNA from 1 species